rnacentral:siRNA from 1 species
CACGACUUCAGACUCAUCAACAAG